GUUGAAACACCGUUUCUCGUACGAUCACCGAAGUUAAGCACCGUUGAGCCUGGUCAAUACCAAGAUGAGUGACUGCUUGAGAAUACCAGGGGCUGUAAG